GAUUUUUCUCACUUUCGGCUUUAUUUGCAAAACUUGAGUAAAUUCUCACUCUUUAUUUAGAUUAUCAUAAGUCUUAUAGUGAACCGAUCCACUCAUCUCUGGUGUUGGAGUAGUUUGAUCCAGAUUAUUAUACAUGCGCUGAAUAAUACGGGUACUAUUUGGAUUAUUCUCCAUUUCUUGUGUUUUAUGGUGAGUACAGAGGCAGUUUUUGUCGUUAAACUGAAUCAUACUCCGGUGAUUGUGUUACAUGUGUUAUGAGAAUGUUGCAUAUUGUAAACAUUUGUAAUACAUUAUUUACUGGUGGCAAAUAAGAAUAAUUUUUUAUAUUACUUAUUCAGUUAUGGCUGAACAUUUUGUCAGUGUUUUUUUUUUUGUUUCAUUUGUUGUUUUAUACCUAAUAUGAUCGGGUUGGUUUCAGAGCAAUAUUAUAGCGCCUUAACAUGUUGAACGUUCUUCAGUUUUAUUAUUAUUAUUAUUAUUAUUAUUAUUAUUAUUAUUAUUAUUAUUAUUAUUAUUAUUAUUAUUAUUAUUAUUAUCAUUAUUAUUAUUAUGUUAGUAGCAGUAGCUAUUUCUGUUGAUAACUGUUUUUGAAAUAUUUUUAGAAAUUCAUAGUAUUCCCCAAAAGAAUAAAGAAAAAAGUAGCUUUUGUUGUAAAAUCGAUAUAGCGAUUAUUGCCAAUCACAACUAAAAUUAUUUUAAACUGCUUUUUUAAAAAAUUCUUUACUUGCAACGUUUCAUUCAUUAUACAUCCUUCUGGCAAAUAUAUUAUAAAAUCGUUCAAACACUGUGUGUCGAGUUGUGUCUCUGUAUGACAAUGAGGAAAUUAACCAUUUGAUAAAAAAAAGCAUUCAGAUAGGCAUAAUCUGCUGUAAACCAGUAAGAGAAUAGCAAAGAGAGAAAGAAGGAGAGAGUGAGAGAGAGAGAGAGAGAAGUAUGGGGGAGAGAGGGACAGAGAAUGGGAGAGAGAAACAUGGAGAGUGAAAGUGUAAGAGAGAGAAAGAAAGAUAAAGAAACGGAAGGAUAAAGUAACAGAGUGCGAAGGAAAUGCAUACUUGUCAGUUAGCCCCAGGUUAAUCUUGAAUAAACAAAGUUGACCUAUGAUCAAAGGCAUUCUGACAGUCCCAUAUGUUUAUCUCGGACCGGGUUCUCCAAUGUGUUAUUCCUGCUCUAAGUUGAUAGGGUAUGAUUUGAAGGAAUCUGGCUGCUAUGUCUAGCAGGUUAAGCUACAGCAUUGAGCUCCUGGAUUGCAACGCUUAGUUUGAAGUCUUUAUAGUUUCUGAGUUCGAGUCUGGCUAAUGCUAACUUUGCAUUAUAUUUUUCAGAGUCCAAUAACAGUCACUCACUGAGAUCAAUUGAAGCGCCCGGUUUCCCCUCUUCCAAAGCAAAAUAAAAGUUUGAAGACUUG
rnacentral:lncRNA from 1 species